CCCUUAGAUGGUCUGGGCGGCACGCGCGCUACAAUGAUGCAUUCAAAAAGUCUUCUGACCUUAGAAGGUUGGGUAUUCUCCAAAGUGCAUCGUGAUGGGAAUAGUUUAUUGCAAUUUUUAAUCUUGAACGAGGAAUUCCUAGUAAGUACAGGUCAUCAACUUGUGUUGAUUACGUCCCUGCCCUUUGUACACACCGCCCGUCGCUCCUACUGAUUGAGUGUCUCGGUGAAUUCUUUGAUCUUCUGUCGAUUCAGUUCGCUGAUCCGACGGUGGAAAGUUGAAUGAACUUCGUCACUUAGAGGAAGGAGAAGUCGUAACA
rnacentral:rRNA from 1 species